rnacentral:rRNA from 1 species
GAUGAACGCUGGCGGCGUGCUUAACACAUGCAAGUCGAACGGAAAGGCCGAAGCUUGCUUCGGUACUCGAGUGGCGAACGGGUGAGUAACACGUGGGUGAUCUGCCCUGUACUUCGGGAUAAGCUUGGGAAACUGGGUCUAAUACCGGAUAUGACGAUCUCUUGGAUGGGGUUGUGGAAAGCUUUUGCGGGAUGGGAUGAGCUCGCGGCCUAUCAGCUUGUUGGUGGGGUAAUGGCCUACCAAGGCGUCGACGGGUAGCCGGCCUGAGAGGGUGUACGGCCACAUUGGGACUGAGAUACGGCCCAGACUCCUACGGGAGGCAGCAGUGGGGAAUAUUGCACAAUGGGCGCAAGCCUGAUGCAGCGACGCCGCGUGGGGGAUGACGGCCUUCGGGUUGUAAACUCCUUUCGCAAUCGACGAAGCCUUUUGGUGACGGUAGGUUGAGAAGAAGCACCGGCUAACUACGUG